CUUUGGUCAGGUUGGGUCAGCUCAGCUAAGAAACAUCUACACUGAUGCCAGCUCAGAAACUAACAUUGCUGAUGUUGUGAAAGCUGGGCUCAGAAACUAACAUUUCCACUGAUGCAGCUCAGAUAUUACACCUUCUGAGGUCUACCGUAUGCUGUAUGUGUUCUUUGAUUUGCUUUGUUCCUGUUUGCAUUUUGACUCCUUAAUAAGCUAUUUCUGAUUAACUUUACCUGAAGAAGAUUCAUUAUUUUAAGAAGAAAUCAAACCUCUCACAAUUGACGAGCCAGUCAGGAGGUAUCGACCCUCAACCACAAGAUCCUUUCGAGGACAACAGACCUGAAGAGAAUCCCUUUCCUAGAAGCAGAGGGGCUGUGAUCUUGGUGAAUAUAAAGUGUGUUUACUACACUGAACAGGGGUAACAUGGUCGGCUGUGAUAAGAGAGGGAGUGGGUACUCAAAGCCAUAACCACAGAUGGUGACUAGGCUGAUUCUGAUGAUGAUUCAACCAACGGAACAAGGGGGGAAUUUGAAUGAUUUACUGUAGUGUUGAAUAUGUCUAAAAUGAAUGUAGGGAAAUUAAUGGUAAUGUUAUUUCUAACAAUGGGUUAGCAACAGUGUGUUAUACAAAACUGAUACAUCUGUGGGUGUUGCAUAAGAGAAUAGCACAAGAUAUAAUGGAGUUUUGUGUAAUUGUGUAUGGAGCAAAGGAAUUGCUCCCAUUGUGUUACAAAUAGAUGAUUGGGCAUGCAUAUACUAUUCAGCGGAUAGUGAUCAUUUUUAUAAUUAUAGCUCCAGUUUUUAAGAGAUUCUGAUCUCCAUAAAAGAACUGGUAGUGUAAUAAACAUGGGGAUAUUAAAAGGAAAUGGGUUAGUAAAGUUUAGUAGACCCUCCACAAGAAUAGUAGAAAGAUGGCAUUUGGAUGAGUGUUAUUAGUGAGGAUGGAUGUGUAAGAGGGGUGGGAAUAAUACACUUGUGGUAUGAAUGUGGAGAAGGUUGAAGGUAUACUAACAUACAACCUAUGGGAUAUAAUAAGUUUUGUAUUAACAUAGUUUAAAAAAUAAAUAGAUUACUAAUGAUAAGAAUUAAACCACAUGUGUAAUUGUUUUUCCUUGUGCACACAGAUAAAACACACAAUGUUUCUGGAUUAUCAGGAAAUAAAUUUGGAUCCCACUUAAAAUAGAAAUAAUUGGAUUGGAUGAUUAUGCAUUAAAUAUGAUUUUGGCACCUGACAUUGAGGAUAUUCAGGGAAGGAGUAUGUUUGUCAGUUCACACACUGAUGGUCACUCUCGUUAUGUUAUGUUAUCAAAAGUGUCAGAUUAAACAGAAGGGUAAGAAUAUCAACUAUCUAAGAAGGUAAUUACUUUUGGUAACUGGGUAGAAUGUAGGUGACGGAGCCCAGGAUAAACAUUGGUUUCUGCUGACAUUGGUAAAGAAGAAACACAAAUGUAACUUUUAGUGCUGUGUCUCGCAUCAUGCUAGGGAAAUAAGACCAAAUUUGGUCAAGGAAAUUACGUAACUGAUGCCAGCUCAGACAUUACACCUUCUGAGGCCUACCAUAUGUUGUAUGUGUUCUUUGAUUUGCUUUGUUCCUGUUUGAAUUUUGAUUCCUGAAUAAACUAUUUUUGAUUAACUUUA